rnacentral:sRNA from 1 species
CUGGGCAGCGCGACUAAGAGCGGCUAACAACACGACUGCGCCCACCUGACAGCUGCUCGCUAUGUUGUGUUAGCC